rnacentral:rRNA from 1 species
UGGAUCCAGACUUUGAUUCUGGCUCAGGAUGAACGCUAGCUACAGGCUUAACACAUGCAAGUCGAGGGGAAACGAUAGAGAAAGCUUGCUUUUUCUAGGCGUCGACCGGCGCACGGGUGAGUAACGCGUAUCCAACCUGCCCACCACUUGGGAAUAACCUUGCGAAAGUAAGACUAAUACCCAAUGAUAUCUCUAGAAGACAUCUGAAAGAGAUUAAAGAUUUAUCGGUGAUGGAUGGGGAUGCGUCUGAUUAGCUUGUUGGCGGGGUAACGGCCCACCAAGGCGACGAUCAGUAGGGGUUCUGAGAGGAAGGUCCCCCACAUUGGAACUGAGACACGGUCCAAACUCCUACGGGAGGCAGCAGUGAGGAAUAUUGGUCAAUGGGCGAGAGCCUGAACCAGCCAAGUAGCGUGCAGGAUGACGGCCCUAUGGGUUGUAAACUGCUUUUAUAAGGGAAUAAAGUGAGCCUCGUGAGGCUUUUUGCACGUACCUUAUGAAUAAGGACCGGCUAAUUCCGUGCCAGCAGCCGCGGUAAUACGGAAGGUCCGGGCGUUAUCCGGAUUUAUUGGGUUUAAAGGGAGCGUAGGCCGGAGAUUAAGCGUGUUGUGAAAUGUAGAUGCUCAACAUCUGCUCUGCAGCGCGAACUGGUUUCCUUGAGUACGCACAAAGUGGGCGGAAUUCGUGGUGUAGCGGUGAAAUGCUUAGAUAUCACGAAGAACUCCGAUUGCGAAGGCAGCUCACUGGCGCGCAACUGACGCUGAAGCUCGAAAGUGCGGGUAUCGAACAGGAUUAGAUACCCUGGUAGUCCGCACGGUAAACGAUGGAUGCCCGCUGUUGGUCUGAAUAGGUCAGCGGCCAAGCGAAAGCAUUAAGCAUCCCACCUGGGGAGUACGCCGGCAACGGUGCAACUCAAAGGAAUUGACGGA